ensembl:lncRNA
UGCAUGUCUCAUAGAUAAAACAUUACAUAAAGAGUGUGAAUUCUGAGACUCUUCCACAAACUACUCAAAACUAAAAAAAAAUUAUUUUCUUCUUCUUUUUUGUCCAGUUAGUGUGUGUGUGUACUUAAGGAUGAUUUCUGGUACGUGUUUUCAGUUGGUCAUAUCUGAUAUGCGGGAAUGUGCAGGUCAGGGAUCAUUUGCAAUUGCAGGCAAAAGGGAAUGAUUUAAUUGUGAUUUCAGGUUUAGGACGAAUUGCCAUCCAUAGUUUAUAAAGAAUCUUAAGUACAGCAUUUUUUGAUUUACGUUUCAUAGUGCAGAUGUGAAUUUAAAGUAGCUCAGAUGAUUAUUUCAAUAAGGAAGUGCUAAAGAACUAGAUUAGGCAAAGUAGUUGAGUCGAUAAGAGACAAAAAUUAGUACUUUCUCAAUUUUAAAUUGAAUGCAAAUUAAGGAGUAAUUGUGUUGUCUGUCGGUGAGUGUUUAUUCUCAGAAUUAUUUUCCUGCAAAGAUUCAGGUUUAGGAUGUUUAUUUCCUCUGUGGUCAUGUUUGUGUUUGAGAGUCGCCUUUUCAGCAUCUCAUCGCCCACUAAUAGAGCCAUUUUCCCUCCAAACAAAUCCAUAAAAUCUUCUUUGAAUCGUAUAAACAGAUAAAACGAUGAGUCUCCGUUUGAAGCUGAUGGAGUCGAUCCAUCAAGGUGAGUUUUAUGUCCCGGAAAAAAACAUCAAGAUUAUAUGAUGGUAAUAAUCUCAAAAAAUAAAAAUAAAAAAAGGAAAACAUCUCACUCUCCAGCCUUUGUAUUGAAUGAAAUAGUGUAACACUUAAAGUUUGCAUAAGGAUCGUGUUCAUAGGGCUUCGUGACACUCACAUGUGCCCUUUAUGGGAUUUGAUAUAAAUAUACACUACCAUUUAUAAAGUCUUAUUCCAAUAGGUGUUCAAUAAGACUCGUGUUGCUCUUGUCAGUUCUGAAGACAAGUUGGUAUAACAUCUGAGCUGGUGACAUAAGGUUGUUAUGACACUUGUUGUUGUUACACUUGUAACAUAAUAGUGAUGACAUUACAGUAUUACAGUGGCACAGAAUUGGCAUAAGUGUUCAUAAAGAUGCAUAACUCUUGUCAUUAUAGUACCAUGUUAUUGGUGUAAAUAUUCAUAAAGAUGCAUAACUUGUCAUUGCAGUGCCAUGUAAUUGUCAAAAGUAUUCAUAAAAGUACAUAACUCUUGUCAUUACAGUGUGUCAUUACAGUAGCUGAGGCCUGUUGGCAUAAGCCUUUAUAAAUGUUUACGUAAGUUUUUAUCAAUUGUCUUGAAUGGCAUAUAUAAGUGUUAUGUAGCCCUAUGUAGCUGACACCUGUUAGAAUAAAGCUUAUAAAUAUUUAUGUAGGUUUAUGUUGGAUGUCGUGAAGGGUUUAUGUAGGUGUUUUGAAGCCCUAUGAACACUAUCCUCAAACUAAAGCUUUUUUUAAAGCUUACUUUUUGAAAUAAAAUGUCAAAAUCAGACUUUGUUUUAAAAUCCAGAACAAUCUGAUCUGUUCACGGCGAGCUAAUUUCAGAGACAAGACUACGAGGUGUUCAGAGUAAAGACAAGAACAGAAUCCUUCAUGCGCUACUGCGUUCACUUACCCGUAAUUAAGCCUUACAUUCUAGUGAUACAAUACAGAUGGAAAUGUAAUUUAAAUGUAAAUGAAGACGCCUGAUGAUCAGCAGAAGGUUAUCGUCUCGGAUUUCGCUUUCAGCUCGAGUUCCCCUCGUUGUGCGUUGAAGUAUUCGUCGAGUUUCGUGUUCAUUUCAUGUGAGACUGUGGAUGAUUGUUGAGUGGGAUUUUGAGCAAAAGUGAGUUAGGAAAUGUUGCAAGCAAUGAUUUAGUUUUAACGAUUUGUGUUGCAUGACUUUGUGCACAAUGGACGAGUAAAAAGUACAUGAGUGAGAUUGCAUUCGGGUUAGAGAGAGAGUCCUGCUUCCUUGUUAAAAUUCAUUUUUAAUUUUACAUGCACUUAAAUCAUUGGAUUUGUCUCAGUUUGUUGUUGUUGUUUUUUUUUUGUACUUUUUUAAAAAAAUAAUUAACCGUUAUCACAUUGUGCACACAUUUAAAAAAUGUCUUAUGACAGACUUUCAGCUUUCGGGCAAACUGCAUGAGAAAGUACUAAUUCAGUGGGAUGGUUGAAACAUAUCCUGCUUUCGCUGAACUACAUUGCUUCCUAUCGUUUAUAAUAUACAAAGUAGUCUAGACAGCUGUAUUGUUUUAUGUUCGAUGAUUCAUUUUGUAUGUGUAAGAUCUUGUUAAGGGGGCGUGUCUUCAGAUGUUAUGUGUAAAUACGUUGCUGAUGGCAGAAAAAUGAAGCGGGGUUCUAC